AUCAGUGAUGACUCCAGAGGAAAAGGAAACCUUUGAUCUUUAGAAUAAAUGUAAGGGUUUAUCUUUUUAUCUUAGAUAUAGAUCAAUUGUGUACCCUUAUUCUUGGAAAUUAGGGUCAUUUUAAUCUAGCUUAACUUUUGCCACUUCUAACAUUAAAUAUGUAAUAAAUUUUAUCAAUUCUAUACCUAAAGAAACAAACCACUUAUCUGUUGUAAAGUCUCCUCAAUAACUCUUUAAGAGAGAUUUGCCUUAGUUAAGAUGAAAUUAUCUUCCAUGAGAAGUCUAAGUAGUUUAUCCUAACAAAGAAAUAAUCAUUAAUUUUAUUUUUGUUCUUGUCAUUAUCCUUCACUGAGAUUUACUAGAUUGCUCAUAAUUUUACUAGUUCCUGAGUUUUAUUAGGUCUGGGGCCACUGAUCUUCCCUAAUACUCAGAGACUGUCAUCUCCACAUUCUGCUACAUGACUUUAUGAUUUGACAUCAAGACAGGCUCCUGUUGCAACCAGCAUUUAUCUGCCUCUGCUUUCUGAUGGUGGAUGCAAUAUGACCAGAAGCUUCAAACUCCUAAUACCAGGAUUUCACAACUAUGAUGCCCUUGAAAUGGCUUGUGUUUGGAAGAAUCCUACCGAGAUGAAAAGAACCAGGACUCACCGGCUGCAAGAAGACAGAAGAUCACACAGUAAAGAAGUCUAGCAUCCAUGGAAGGGCCAGAACAGG
rnacentral:sRNA from 1 species